GAUGAACGCUAGCGGCAGGCCUAACACAUGCAAGUCGAGGGAGAAGCCCUUUCGGGGGUGGAAACCGGGGCACGGGUGCGUAACGCGUAUGCAACCUUCCCUUCACCUGGGGUUAGCCCUAACUACAUUAGACUAAUACUCCUUACUAUUAUUGGCUGCCACCACUUGAUAAUUAUAGGUGCGGUGGUGCAGGAUGGGCAUGCGUCCGAUCGGCUAGUUGGAGUGGUAACGGCACCCCGAGGCUACGAUUGGUAGGGGUCCUGAGGGGGAGAUCCCCCACACGGGUACCGGGACAGGUAGGAGAGUCAUACGGGAGGCAGCAGUGAGGGAGAUUGGUCAAGGGUAGGAAGACUGAACGGGCGAAGCCGCGUGCAGGAAGAAUGCCUUAUGGGUUGUAGACUGCUGGUAUAUGAGAAGAUUAAGCCGUACGUGUACGUUGAUGACGGUACCAUGUGAAUAAGCAUCGGCUAACUCCGUG
rnacentral:rRNA from 1 species